GCGGAGGAAAAGAAACCAACAGGGAUUGCCCUAGUAACGGCGAGUGAAGCGGCAACAGCUCAAAUUUGAAAUCUGGCUCUCGGGCCCGAGUUGUAAUUUGUAGAGGAUGCUUUUGAUGCGGUGCCUUCCGAGUUCCCUGGAACGGGACGCCAUAGAGGGUGAGAGCCCCGUCUGGUUGGAUGCCAAAUCUCUGUAAAGCUCCUUCGACGAGUCGAGUAGUUUGGGAAUGCUGCUCUAAAUGGGAGGUAUAUGUCUUCUAAAGCUAAAUACCGGCCAGAGACCGAUAGCGCACAAGUAGAGUGAUCGAAAGAUGAAAAGCACUUUGAAAAGAGAGUUAAAAAGUACGUGAAAUUGUUGAAAGGGAAGCGUUUAUGACCAGACUUGGGCUUGGUUAAUCAUCUGGGGUUCUCCCCAGUGCACUUUUCCAGUCCAGGCCAGCAUCAGUUUUCGCCGGGGGAUAAAGGCUUCGGGAAUGUGGCUCUCUCCGGGGAGUGUUAUAGCCCGUUGCGUAAUACCCUGGCGGGGACUGAGGUUCGCGCAUCUGCAAGGAUGCUGGCGUAAUGGUCAUCAACGACCCGUCUUGAAACACGGACCAAGGAGUCGUCUUCGUAUGCGAGUGUUCGGGUGUCAAACCCCUACGCGUAAUGAAAGUGAACGCAGGUGAGAGCUUCGGCGCAUCAUCGACCGAUCCUGAUGUUCUCGGAUGGAUUUGAGUAAGAGCAUACGGGGCCGGACCCGAAAGAAGGUGAACUAUGCCUGUGUAGGGUGAAGCCAGAGGAAACUCUGGUGGAGGCUCGCAGCGGUUCUGACGUGCAAAUCGAUCGUCAAACAUGGGCAUGGGGGCGAAAGA
rnacentral:rRNA from 1 species